GUUUCAGAGAUGUCUGGAUCGAUGACAGAGCCAAUAAAUGGAUAUUGCCAGUGAAUGGAGACAGAUGUGAGGGAGAUUGGGAGGGAGUAAUGAACAAACAGAGAGAGAUCAUAACACCGAAAAUAUUAAUUGAAAAGGACUUCUUUGAUUCAGAAAACAAAAAAAAACAAACUACCAGAUUUGAAUGGGAGAACAUCCUUCUUGAAUGCACCCAUGUUUGUGCAGCACCUCUUUGUUUCUACCAUGACUAUGUUAUCUCAAAAAGAAGAGAAAGAUUCUGGAAGAAUGAAGAACGUUGGGAAUGCCAUCAUUAAGAGACACCCAUGGAGUGAAGGUUAUGUGAAGAGACAUGGAGAAGACAGUCGUCUACAAGCCAAGGAGAAAGGCCUGGAACGCCUCCUUCCCUCAGAGCCCCCAGAAGGAACAAUCCUGCCAACACCUUGAUUUUGGUUUUCUAGCUUCCAGCAUUGUGGGUCAAUAAAUUUCUGUCAUAUAAGCCACCCAGUUUGUGGAACUUUGUCAUAUAAGCCCUAGCAAAUUAACAUUGUCCUCUACAUAUGUAACUUCAACAAGUAUACACGAUAAGAUACCAAGCUUGGCCAGGGGACAAGGAACUUAUAUAAAAAUCAUUACCUCACCUCUAAUUUGUUGUGAAGUUUGGGCUAGGCCCUUUUGAUUUGUCUUUACUGAUGCUUUUUAGAACUCAAGAGGCAGCUUUCAGAUGCAUUAGCGACCCUGGUGAAAACUGAGUCAUGCCAAACACAUACUCCUUAAAGAAAGUUGACUACACCAAUUCAGGGGACAAAGAGAGAGACAGAAAUUUAGAUAAUGCUGAGAGUUAGCCCACCACCCUACUCAAUAGGUUUAUGCCUCAGAAUGAGUAUGAGCUGAGAGGCAGAAAUCUGUGGCUCCAAUCUGCUGUUUUCUCCUGGUCUCAGUUCUCAUGUGCCUUCAUGCAAGAGCAUCUUUCUGUGGCAAGAGUGGUUCCUGUCUAUAAAGAUGCCAUCUUAGUCCAUUUGUGUUACUAUAAAGGAAUACCUGAGGCUGAGUAAUUUAUAAAGAAGAUAUUUAUUUGGCUCUUGGUUUUGCAGGCUGUAUAAGAAGCAUGGCACCAGCAUCUGCUUCUGGUGAGGGCCUCAGGAAAUUUCCACUCACGGUAGAAGGCAAAGGGGAGCUGGCAUGUGCAGAGAUUACAUGGCAACAGAGGAAGCAAGAAAGGGGAGGGAGGUGCCAGGCUCUUUUUU
rnacentral:lncRNA from 10 species